CCCUAUGGGGUGCAGCAGGCCCACAAAGAUGUAGGCAACAAAUAUCAGGGCACCCAAGCCGAUGGCCUGGAGCGGGUCGGAUUGGAGAAAUAGGGCGAAGCUAUCGUUCAUAACCGAUCAAUCAUGGCCGCCACCAAUGUCGGAGCCGAGGCAGUUCAUCAUCCAGGUCAUGCACCGGACCAGCGGGUAGGCUUGCCAAAAGACCAUCUGCCCCAGCAGCAGGAUUGAGACCGGCAGCGCGCCAUACAGCGCCAUUUCGAUCCGGUACGAAGCGCGGGCCUGGUAGAUUUCGGCCGCCUUGCG
rnacentral:rRNA from 1 species